rfam:Camelus ferus unplaced genomic scaffold scaffold1533, whole genome shotgun sequence.
GACAAUAUAGCUCACGUGGUAGAGCACGUGCUUAGCAUGCACGAGGUCCUGGGUUCAAUCCCCAGUAUGCCCU